UACUGCUUUUGGGUGCGGUGGAAGCAGAUGAUGAGGUUGAUGCAACAUUGCUGCCUGAUCCAGACUUGAGCUUGGAUUCCAACCACAUGUGAGCUAGAACCUGACAGAUACCUUCCUCAACGUCUUGACUGAGAUUCGGGGGUUGGCAAUCAACGGUAUCCAUAAUUGCAGAUUCCAGACACUCCAGACAGAGCUUCCGUCCAUCCUUAAGGGCAGCAUAUCUCGUCUCUCGUGACUGCAUAUUAUGAACAAAUAUAUUAUGCCACAGAUUUUCUCCAGAAUACUUUCUCAGUUAUAGGGCUUUUUGAUAGAUAAAAGUGUUUCAAUCACAGACCUCCAUUCGCUCACAGCUGCAACACCGAGGAGUGCCAUCAUGUUCAUGAAAAGGGCAGUAUUUCUGAACCCAAAAUGGAUGUGCCCUAUAUUCAAUUAGACCAGCAGGAUUUGUUGGAAUCUGUCGAAAAGAUAUAUAUAUAAUUGAAAAACCAACGACAACGUACAAUGAGCAAUCUAUCUGAGUAAGAAAAACAUUUGAUCAGCACUUCUAUUUUUCUUUCGAAAUAUUUAAAUUUUGAUCUUUCAAACAUGACAUGACUUAUGAACAAGAUUCUCCUUUAUCGCUAAUGAGGAUGCUCUAA